UACGUAGGUGACCAGCGUUGUCCGGAUUUACUGGGCGUAAAGAGCGCGCAGGCGGUCGUUCAAGUCGAGUGUGAAAGCCCCCGGCUCAACUGGGGAGGGUCAUUCGAUACUGAUCGACUCGAAGGCAGGAGAGGGAAGCGGAAUUCCCGGUGUAGUGGUGAAAUGCGUAGAUAUCGGGAGGAACACCAGUGGCGAAGCGGCUUCCUGGCCUGUUCUUGACGCUGAGGCGCGACAGCGUGGGGAGCAAACAGG
rnacentral:rRNA from 1 species